rnacentral:lncRNA from 1 species
UGAGUUUGUAUCUUUAGCUACUUCUGGCCAUAUCGGCUGUUUUUGAAAAAUGGGUUAUUUUUGCAAAUUAAUUUUGGGCCAUGAUUUUUGGGAGUUUGAAGCCAUAUAAGCUGCGGUGAGGCAUUUUUCAUGUCUUAGAGGUCAAUCUUGUUGAGUUUACACUUCUAGCCACCCUGGGCCACAUAGGUCAUUUUGCAAAAAUAGCCCAAUUAUGCCUUGCAUGUGUCCAAUAGGAGAUUCCAUGGUGUCUUGAGUCACAAAUCUAUUUGGUUCUAUUUUUCUGAUUCAGGUGUGGAUCCACGUACCAGGACUCGAGCAUGACAUAUACCCCAGGACAAUUGCAUCCAGGAGUUAAGUUUUUUUAUAUUUUGAGCAUGUUUUUGAGUCUUUUAGGUGGUGUAAGAUUUUGUCAAGUUGUACUUUCCAUUUGUAUUUGAAAA